AGAGUUUGAUCCUGGCUCAGAGUGAACGCUGGCGGCGUGCCUAACACAUGCAAGUCGCACGAGAAACCCGGGGCUUGCUCCGGGGAGUAAAGUGGCGCACGGGUGAGUAACGCGUGGGUAAUCUACCCUUGGGCCUGGGAUAACUCAUCGAAAGGUGGGCUAAUACCGGGUAAGACCACGGCCGCCCCGGUGGCUGGGGUAAAAGGGGGCCUCUGCUUGCAAGCUCCCGCCUGAGGAUGAGCCCGCGUACCAUUAGCUAGUUGGUAGGGUAAAGGCCUACCAAGGCUACGAUGGUUAGCUGGUCUGAGAGGAUGGCCAGCCACACUGGAACUGGAACACGGUCCAGACUCCUACGGGAGGCAGCAGUGAGGAAUCUUGCGCAAUGGGGGCAACCCUGAUCCAGCAAUGCCGCGUGUGUGAAGAAGGCCUUCGGGUUGUAAAGCACUUUUGUUCGGAAAGAAAUCGCUCUGGUUAAUACCUGGAGUGGAUGACGGUACCGGAAGAAUAAGCACCGGCUAACUACGUGCCAGCAGCCGCGGUAAUACGUAGGGUGCAAGCGUUAAUCGGAAUUACUGGGCGUAAAGCGUGCGCAGGCGGUUGUGCAAGACAGAUGUGAAAUCCCCGGGCUUAACCUGGGAACUGCAUUUGUGACUGCACGGCUAGAGUGUGUCAGAGGGGGGUAGAAUUCCACGUGUAGCAGUGAAAUGCGUAGAUAUGUGGAGGAAUACCGAUGGCGAAGGCAGCCCCCUGGGAUGACACUGACGCUCAUGCACGAAAGCGUGGGGAGCAAACAGGAUUAGAUACCCUGGUAGUCCACGCCCUAAACGAUGUCAACUAGUUGUCGGGUCUUAAUUGACUUGGUAACGCAGCUAACGCGUGAAGUUGACCGCCUGGGGAGUACGGUCGCAAGAUUAAAACUCAAAGGAAUUGACGGGGACCCGCACAAGCGGUGGAUGAUGUGGAUUAAUUCGAUGCAACGCGAAAAACCUUACCUACCCUUGACAUGGUCGGAACCCUGGAGAGAUCUGGGGGUGCUCGAAAGAGAACCGGCGCACAGGUGCUGCAUGGCUGUCGUCAGCUCGUGUCGUGAGAUGUUGGGUUAAGUCCCGCAACGAGCGCAACCCUUGUCCUCAGUUGCCACAUUAAGUUGGGCACUCUGUGGAGACUGCCGGUGUUAAACCGGAGGAAGGUGGGGAUGACGUCAAGUCCUCAUGGCCUUUAUGCCCAGGGCUACACACGUGCUACAAUGGCCGGUACAAAGGGCCGCGAUCCCGCGAGGGGGAGCUAAUCCCAAAAAGCCGGCCCCAGUUCGGAUUGGAGUCUGCAACUCGACUCCAUGAAGUCGGAAUCGCUAGUAACCGUGGAUCAGCACGCCACGGUGAAUACGUUCCCGGGCCUUGUACACACCGCCCGUCACACCACGAAAGCCGACUGUACCAGAAGUCGCUGGGCCAACCCGCAAGGGGGGCAGGCGCCUAAGGUAUGGCCGGUGAUUGGGGUGAAGUCGUAACAAGGUAAA
rnacentral:rRNA from 1 species